CCUGCCCACUGAUUUAAAUAUUAAAGGGCUGCAGUAUUUUGACUGUGCAAAGGUAGCAUAAUAAUUAGGCUUUUAAUUGAAGUCUUGUAUGAAUGGAGUAACAAAAUUAAAGCUGUCUUUUAUUUAAAUAUUGAAUUUAACUUUUAAGUUAAAAGGCUUAAAUAAAUUAAAAAGACGAUAAGACCCUAUAAAACUUUAUAUUGAUAAAAUUGCUAGUUUUAAAUUAAUUUAGUGGGUAUAGUUAAUUGAAAUAUUUAAUUGGGGAGAAUAAAAUUUAAUAGAAUAGUAAUUUUUUUAUUUUUAAACAUUUAUGUAUGUUUUAUUAUAAUGAUCCUUUAUUAAGGAAAAAAGAAAAAGUUACUUUAGGGAUAACAGCGUUAUUUUUUAGGAAGUACAUAUUGAAGGAAAUAAAUUGCGACCUCGAUGUUGAAUUAAAUUUUAAAUAUGGAGCAUCAGCUAUAUUGAAUAAGUCUGUUCGACUUUUAAAUAUUUACGUGAUCUGAUUUCAAACCGGA
rnacentral:rRNA from 1 species